CCUACGGGUGGCAGCAGUGAGGAAUAUUGGGCAAUGGGGGCAACCCUGACCCAGCCAUGCCGCGUGAGUGAAGAAGGUCUUCGGAUUGUAAAGCUCUUUCGGACGUGACGAUGAUGACGGUAGCGUCUAAAGACGCAUCGGCUAACUCCGUUCCAGCAGCCACGGUAAUACGGGGGAUGCAAGCGUUAUCCGGAUUGACUGGGUUUAAAGGGUGCGUAGGCUGUGAGGUAAGUCAGCGGGGAAAUGCCCCCGCUCAACGGGGUGAAGUGCCAUUGAUACUGCCGUGCUGGAGUGCGGAUGCGGUGGGAGGAAUGUGUGGUGUAGCGGUGAAAUGCAUAGAGAUCACACAGAACACCGAUUGCGAAGGCAUCUCACGAAGCUGCGAUUGACGCUGAUGCACGAAAGCGUGGGUAUCAAACAGGAUUAGAUACCCGGGUAGUC
rnacentral:rRNA from 1 species